GACGAACGCUGGCGGCGUGCCUAAUACAUGCAAGUCGAGCGAAGCGGCGGAUGGGUGAGUAACACGUGGGUAACCUACCCAUCAGAGGGGGAUAACACUUGGAAACAGGUGCUAAUACCGCAUACUGAUGGAUGGACCCGCGGUGCAUUAGCUAGUUGGUGAGGUAACGGCUCACCAAGGCCACGAUGCAUAGCCGACCUGAGAGGGUGAUCGGCCACACUGGGACUGAGACACGGCCCAGACUCCUACGGGAGGCAGCAGUAGGGAAUCUUCGGCAAUGGACGAAAGUCUGACCGAGCAACGCCGCGUGAGUGAAGAAGGUUUUCGGAUCGUAAAACUCUGUUGUUGGUGAAGCGGUAAUCAACCAGAAAGUCACGGCUAACUACGUGCCAGCAGCCGCGGUAAUUC
rnacentral:rRNA from 1 species